UACGGGGGGGGCAAGCGUUGUUCGGAAUUACUGGGCGUAAAGGGUUCGUAGGUGGCUUGUUAAGUCAGACGUGAAAUCCCUCGGCUCAACCGGGGAACUGCGUCUGAGGCUGAUGAGCUUGAGUGCAGGAGAGGAACGCGGAAUUCCAGGUGUAGCGGUGAAAUGCGUAGAUAUCCGGAAGAACACCGAUGGCGAAGGCAACCACCUGGGCCUGCAUUGACGCUGAGGUACGAAAGCGUGGGGAGCAAACAGG
rnacentral:rRNA from 1 species